rnacentral:rRNA from 1 species
UACAGAGGUCUCAAGCGUUGUUCGGAUUCAUUGGGCGUAAAGGGUGCGUAGGCGGCGAGGUAAGUCGGAUGUGAAAUCCCGGGGCUCAACCCCGGAACUGCAUUCGAUACUGCUUUGCUUGAGUACUGGAGAGGAGACUGGAAUUUACGGUGUAGCAGUGAAAUGCGUAGAUAUCGUAAGGAAGACCAGUGGCGAAGGCGAAUCUCUGGACAGUUACUGACACUGAGGCACGAAGGCCAGGGGAGCAAACGGG